GCCUCCCGAGGCCGGAGGUGCUGGAGCCAAGGCUUGGCAUGGCAGUGGCCCAGCAGCUGGGGGGAAGGGUGCUAGGGUGGGCAUGGGCCCAGAGGCUGCAGGAAGCUGGAUGCUUGAGCGCGGGCCUGGAGACCUGUAAGGCUGGGUUAUCUCCCCUGCCCUCACUGGACGUGUCCCAGCCCUCCUAGGGCCUCCCUGGGGCCACUCUGGCCCUUCUAUACAUUUCCUUCCUGGAAUGAGCAGGGAGGCUGGGGGAAAGGGGGUAGGGAGCAGGCAGGGAGGCCAGGCCUCAGGUCCAGUCUGGGCAGCUGGGUCCAGAGGAGGCAGGGCGCUGAUCCAAACGACCAAAGAGUGACUGGGGCUGCCAAGCGGGGCUGGGGCCUCCGGUGUGGACACAGGUAGAUCUCUGGGUCUCCAUGAGCUGGUGUCUGCUCUGCGAACCAUCGGACCUCACAGGGUGGCUGUGAGGAGGAGCUACACCAGAGCACACGUGGUGAGUCACCUCCAUGGGCCUGCUCUGGCCCUGCUGAGGGCCACCACCAGGACUCGAACCUUCCUUUAGCCCCACAACCCUAUAAGCUAACAAUUAUUAUCACCCCCAUUUUACAGACUGGUAAAGUGAGGGCUGCAGAGGUUAAUCAGCUAACUGACACAGGUGUGCGACCAGACUGGGAUUCAGCCCAAAGCCAGGUGAUGCCAGUGCGCACGAGCCAAGCUCCUUUGCUGUGUGUACUGCUUUAUCGGUCUGUUUCUGGUUUAUAGAUCUAUGCCCCACCCCCACCCCAGCUCCUGGGUGGCUUUGGAACCUGGGAGUAAGGCCUUGACCACUUCAUCACCAGGGGGUCAGAUGGUGGUACCAAGAGGAGAUGGAGGCAUCCCCAAAGUCCACCCGGCUGUCGUCGCAGGUGCUAUGGGAAAACAUGGUGGCCUACCUUGGCCCUGCAGCCCUCAGACCUCUUUGCAAAGGACCAGGCAGCAAGGCCCCCAGGCCCCCCAGACUCGGGAGUCCUGGUGCCAGCCAGGGGUGUAUGGGAGCCAGCCAGUAAGUACUAGCUGACAAAAGCCAUAGUACACAUCUCUGCCCAACUUCAUGUUCCAUAAGGUCAUGUCCGUAGCUUGAAGUCAGCCAUGCAGGGAAUCCUAUACCUCGAUAUUGCCAAGUCAACAAUCGGGGCUUUCUUUUUCCCCCUGAAAGCCUGCUAUUAAAAACCAGCACACCACUGUUCCUUCCAGCCUUCCGUGUGCCCCGCCCACCAGGCCAGGAGGC